GCAGUCGAACGGCAGCACGGGAGCUUGCUCCUGGUGGCGAGUGGCGAACGGGUGAGUAAUAUAUCGGAACGUAUCCAAUAAUGGGGGAUAACUAAUCGAAAGGUUGGCUAAUACCGCAUACGCCCUGAGGGGGAAAGCUGGGGAUCUUCGGACCUAGCGUUAAUGGAGCGGCCGAUAUCUGAUUAGCUAGUUGGUGGGGUAAAGGCCCACCAAGGCGACGAUCAGUAGCUGGUCUGAGAGGACGACCAGCCACACUGGAACUGAGACACGGUCCAGACUCCUACGGGAGGCAGCAGUGGGGAAUUUUGGACAAUGGGCGCAAGCCUGAUCCAGCCAUUCCGCGUGAGUGAAGAAGGCCUUCGGGUUGUAAAGCUCUUUCGCAAGGGAAGAAACGAUUUAGGUGAAUAAUCUAAGUUAAUGACGGUACCUUGAUAAGAAGCACCGGCUAACUACGUGCCAGCAGCCGCGGUAAUACGUAGGGUGCGAGCGUUAAUCGGAAUUACUGGGCGUAAAGCGUGCGCAGGCUGUUUUGUAAGUCAGAUGUGAAAUCCCCGAGCUCAACUUGGGAACCGCGUUUGAAACUACAAGACUAGAAUAUGUCAGAGGGGGGUAGAAUUCCACGUGUAGCAGUGAAAUGCGUAGAGAUGUGGAGGAAUAUCAAUGGCGAAGGCAGCCCCCUGGGAUAAUAUUGACGCUCAUGCACGAAAGCGUGGGGAGCAAACAGGAUUAGAUACCCUGGUAGUCCACGCC
rnacentral:rRNA from 1 species